UACGUAGGUGGCAAGCGUUGUCCGGAUUUACUGGGCGUAAAGAGCGCGCAGGCGGUCGUUCAAGUCGCGUGUGAAAGCCCCCCGGCUCAACUGGGGGAGGGGUCACGCGAUACUGAUCGACUCGAAGGCAGGAGAGGGUAGUGGAAUUCCCGGUGUAGUGGUGAAAUGCGUAGAUAUCGGGAGGAACACCAGUGGCGAAGGCGACUACCUGGCCUGUUCUUGACGCUGAGGCGCGAAAGCUAGGGGAGCAAACGGG
rnacentral:rRNA from 1 species